GUGGGGAUGACAUAAAAGGACGAAGGGAAAACAAAGCCACUUGAAAUAGUUUUCUCUGUUAAUGGUGGAAGCCAAAAUUUUCUCCCUUUGUUCAUAGCACUGUGCAACCCCACUUGUCUAUGCUCUCAUUAUUUUUCUCUUCAUUCGUUCGCCUUGACGUUUUCCCCUCUUCCGUAUUCUCCUCCCUCGAACAAAACCUCCCUUCUUAUCGCAUUUCUUCGACCCAUUUCCCCAUUUUCUCCUUCUCCCUCGUCACUUUCCUCAUUUUCUAUCAAUUUCAGCUUCACCCAUCACUCUUAACCCUAAAUUCUGCUUACCCAUCUCCCUCCAAUGGCUUCUCACUGUGAAAAAAACCACCUUCCCCCCGAUUCUACCCCUCAUCUUAACGGUGACGCCAAUACCCACUUGCCCAAAAGGCCUAAAAUUGCCCCCACUUUCAUUUCUGACUCAGAAAUUCAAUCCGAGUUUGCCCAUCAUGACCCUUCUGUUGCUCGGAUCAACAACGGGAGCUUUGGCUGCUGCCCUUCUUCUGUCAUCUCUGCUCAACAACAAUGGCAGCUUAAGUUCCUUCGCCAGCCUGAUUGGUUCUACUUCAACGGGCUCAAAAAGGGGAUUCUUGAAUCGAGAACCAUCAUUAAGGAUCUCAUCAAUGCCGAGCAUAUUGAUGAAGUUUCUAUUGUUGAUAACGCUACCACUGCAGCUGCUAUAGUUUUGCAGAAAAUCGCUAGGGAUUUUUCUGAGGGGAGAUUUGAGAAGGGUGAUGCGGCGGUUAUGCUUCACUAUGCGUAUGGUGCUGUGAAGAAGUCAAUAGAGGCAUAUGUUUCUCGAGCUGGUGGGCAUGUAAUUGAGGUUCAAUUGCCUUUUCCUGUUAAGUCUAAUGAUGAAAUUAUAUUUGAAUUUCGUAAGGCUUUGGAGAGAGGAAAGGCUAAUGGUAGGAAGGUUCGUCUGGCUGUGAUUGAUCAUAUUACAUCCAUGCCUUGUGUGGUUAUACCGGUUAAGGAGUUAGUUAAGAUUUGUAGGGAAGAGGGUGUUGACCAAAUUUUUGUUGAUGCUGCUCACGCUAUUGGGUGUACUGAUAUUGAUAUGCAAGAGAUUGAUGCUGAUUAUUACACAAGUAAUUUGCAUAAGUGGUUCUUUUGUCCACCUUCAAUUGCUUUCUUGUAUUCCAGGAGGUCCCCAAAUCAUUCUGAUUUGCAUCAUCCUGUUGUUUCUCAUGAGUAUGGUAAUGGGUUGGCCAUAGAAAGUGCUUGGAUUGGAACCAGGGAUUAUAGUUCUCAGUUGGUGGUUCCUUCAGUUUUGAAAUUUGUUAAUAGGUUUGAAGAUGGGAUUAAGGGAAUAAAAAAGAGGAAUCAUGAGGCUGUUAUUAAGAUGGGAGAGAUGUUGGCAGAAUCAUGGAAGACUCAUCUUGGCUGCCCGCCAAAUAUGUGUGCAAGUAUGGUCAUGGUGGGGUUGCCUUCAUGCUUGGGCAUCUCAAGUGAAUCUGAUACUCUGAAGUUGAGAACACAUUUACGGGAAGAGUUUAGAGUUGAAGUCCCAAUAUAUUACCGUGCUCCGAAAAAGGGGGAAACUGCCCCUAUUACCGGGUAUGCACGAAUUUCUCAUCAAGUGUACAACAAAUUUGAAGAUUAUGUUAAGUUUAAAGAUGCAAUCAACGAACUUGUGCAAACUGGCUUCACCUGCACUCAACUCUCCAAAUGAGGACAGAGGAGUUACAUUGAACAGCGUUGCAUCUUUGCUUCAGCAUUCGGGUUGGGAGUUGAUGUUGUGAUAAAGUUUCUUGCAUUUUGUGGUUCUCCAUCUGAUAAAAACAAUCAAACAUCAAAGGCUUAUGAAAGCGGCACGCGGUGGUUCUCUUCUGCUGCAUAGCCAUGGUUUCGGUACCAUGGGCACACCCCCAAAACACUUCAAAGGUGGAUGCACCAAGCAGAAAUAAUGUCAUUAUCUUUUUAAUGACUUGAAAUGAAAGUCCUUGAGGACAGCUUAACUUGUGUAUCAGGCUUCUUGAUCAGAAUAGUACUUGUACAUAUUCGAAUCUCAUGUUUUCGACUCUUAUUUAACUAUCAAAUGAAGUACUGUUUUCGUCAUCCGAGUAAGGGUCAUGUAAUGACAGACCAGACUGGACUGUAACUUUAGUAGUUGUCAAGCUCUUGAGUUUUCGUGCAGCAAGUGCUUUUGUAUUCUCCAUUACUACAAAUGACUGAUGAUUUUGAUGAGUUGCAGUUUCCUACGAUCUAAUUCCCUUGCAUUUC